UUUAUAGGGUCUAAGUGUCUCAUCCACUUCAUUGCCAAUAGGAGGGAUGUAAUAAGUGUGGGGAUGUGGUUAACAGCCAAACUGUAUGCCAAUGAAGUGUUACAUAUACAGGGAUUCAAGCCCACUUUCUACCCUUAGGCAAUAAUGGAGUCCUCUGUGAAGCACAUGGCCUUUCACCAGGCAAAAUCAGUUGGGUUGUUGAUAAACUCCUCCUCCAUUACCUUCCAAUGCAAUCCCC